rnacentral:rRNA from 1 species
GAGUGAACGCUGGCGGUAGGCCUAACACAUGCAAGUCGAACGGCAGCACAGUAAGAGCUUGCUCUUACGGGUGGCGAGUGGCGGACGGGUGAGGAAUACAUCGGAAUCUACUUUUUCGUGGGGGAUAACGUAGGGAAACUUACGCUAAUACCGCAUACGACCUACGGGUGAAAGCAGGGGAUCUUCGGACCUUGCGCGAUUGAAUGAGCCGAUGUCGGAUUAGCUAGUUGGCGGGGUAAAGGCCCACCAAGGCGACGAUCCGUAGCUGGUCUGAGAGGAUGAUCAGCCACACUGGAACUGAGACACGGUCCAGACUCCUACGGGAGGCAGCAGUGGGGAAUAUUGGACAAUGGGCGCAAGCCUGAUCCAGCCAUACCGCGUGGGUGAAGAAGGCCUUCGGGUUGUAAAGCCCUUUUGUUGGGAAAGAAAAGCAGCAGGUUAAUACCCCGCUGUUCUGACGGUACCCAAAGAUUAAGCACCGGCUAACUUCGUG